rnacentral:rRNA from 1 species
CCUACGGGUGGCAGCAGUGAGGAAUAUUGGUCAAUGGACGAGAGUCUGAACCAGCCAAGUAGCGUGAAGGAUGACGGCCCUAUGGGUUGUAAACUUCUUUUAUAAAGGAAUAAAACGAGGCACGUGUGCCUUUUUGCAUGUAUUUUAUGAAUAAGGAUCGGCUAACUCCGUGCCAGCAGCCGCGGUAAUACGGAGGGUCCGAGCGUUAUCCGGAUUUAUGGGGUUUAACGGGAGCGUAGAGGGGUUGGUAAGUCAGUUGCGAAAGUUUGCGGCUCAACUGUAAAACUGCUAUUGAUACUGGCAGUCUUGAGUACAGUUGAGGUAGGCGGAAUUCGUGGUGUAGCGGUGAAAUGCUUAGAGAUCGCGAGGAACACCGCUGGCGAAGGCAGCUUACUGAGCUGUAACUGACGUUGAUGCUCGAAAGUGUGGGUAUCAAACAGGAUUAGAUACCCUUGUAGUC